rnacentral:rRNA from 1 species
UACGUAGGGGGCCAGCGUUGUCCGGAAUCAUUGGGCGUAAAGCGCGCGUAGGCGGCCAGAUAAGUCCGGUGUGAAAGUCAAAGGCUCAACCUUUGAAUGCCGCUGGAAACUGCCUGGCUUGAGUCCGGAAGGGGCGAGUGGAAUCCUGGUGUAGCGGUGAAAUGCGUAGAUAUCGAGAGGAACACCUGCGGCGAAGGCGGGUUGCUGGGCUGACACUGACGCUGAGACGCGAAAGCGUGGGGAGCAAACAGG